rnacentral:lncRNA from 1 species
UAAAAAUAUGAAAAAUUAUUAUAAGGCAUACUAUCAAUAAACACCUUUUUUCUUGUCUAUUUUCAUACAUAAGGCGCACUGGAUUAUAAGGCGCAUUAUGCGACACUAGUAGUAGUAAAGUCAAACGAGCGCUGGAUGUUAAUCUACACAGAUUUUUUUCCUGGGUGAGUUUAUUGGCUUCACUAAAGUUACACAGUGCAGAAAUCAGAAAGCUGAGCCUGAAGUAACAAUGAUUGCGACACUACUCUCCCUAUUACAGAGGCUCAGGUCUGGAGAAGCGGAGCAGAAUGAAGAAUCCUAUUGAUUGCUGAAUCCCGAUUUUACAGCAGGGCGGA